CAGUAGCCGCGGUAAUACGAAGGGUGCAAGCGUUACUCGGAAUUACUGGGCGUAAAGCGUGUGUAGGUGGUUGUUUAAGUCUGUCGUGAAAGCCCUGGGCUCAACCUGGGAGUUGCGAUGGAUACUGGGCGACUAGAGUGCGGUAGAGGAUAGUGGAAUUUCCGGUGUAGCAGUGAAAUGCGUAGAGAUCGGAAGGAACAUCUGUGGCGAAGGCGACUAUCUGGGCCAACACUGACACUGAGACACGAAAGCGUGGGGAGCAAACAGGAUUAGAUACCCCCGUAGUCCCUGUCUCUUAUAC
rnacentral:rRNA from 1 species